rnacentral:rRNA from 1 species
CCUACGGGAGGCAGCAGUGAGGAAUAUUGGUCAAUGGGCGCGAGCCUGAAGCAGCCAAGUAGCGUGAAUGAUGACUGACCUCCGGGUUGUAAGCUUCUUUUAUAAAGGAAUAAAGUGCGGCACGUGUGCCUGUUUGUAUGUAUUUUAUCAUUAAAGAUCGGCUAACUCCGUGCCAGCAGCCGCGGUAAUACGGAGGAUCCGAGCGUUAUCCGGAUUUAGUGGGUUAAAAGGGUGGGCAGUGGGAGGCGGAGGUCAGCGGGAAAAGUGCGGGGCUCAACCCCGUACUGCCGUUGAAACUGCGUCGCUUGAGUGCGCGAGGAGUAAGCGGAAUGCGUGGUGUAGCGGUGAAAUGCAUAGAUAUCACGAAGAACUCCGAUGGCGAAGGCAGCAUACCGGAGUGCAACUGACGUUGAUGCACGAAGGCGUGGGUAGCGAACAGGAUUAGAUACCCGAGUAGUC